GUCUACGGCCAUACCACCCUGAACGCAUCCGAUCUCAUCUGAUCUCAGAAACUAAGCUGGGUCGGGCCUGGUUAGUACUUGGAUGGGAGAAGAGUUCUUCAUAUAUU
rnacentral:rRNA from 1 species